AUUGAACGCUGGCGGCAUGCCUUACACAUGCAAGUCGAACGGUAACAGGUCUUCGGAUGCUGACGAGUGGCGAACGGGUGAGUAAUACAUCGGAACGUGCCUGUAGUGGGGGAUAACUACUCGAAAGAGUGGCUAAUACCGCAUGAGAUCUACGGAUAAAAGCAGGGGAUCGCAAGACCUUGUGCUUCUAGAGCGGCCGAUGGCAGAUUAGGUAGUUGGUGGGAUAAAAGCUUACCAAGCCGACGAUCUGUAGCUGGUCUGAGAGGACGAUCAGCCACACUGGGACUGAGAAACGGCCCAGACUCCUACGGGGGGCAGCAGUGGGGAAUUUUGGACAAUGGGCGCAAGCCUGAUCCAGCAAUGCCGCGUGCAGGAUGAAGGCCUUCGGGUUGUAAACUGCUUUUGUACGGAACGAAAAGCCCCGGGUUAAUACCCUGGGGUCAUGACGGUACCGUAAGAAUAAGCACCGGCUAACUACGUGCCAGCCGCCGCAGUAA
rnacentral:rRNA from 1 species